GGAAUAUUGGACAAUGGGGGGAACCCUGAUCCAGCGACGCCGCGUGAGUGAAGAAGUAUUUCGGUAUGUAAAGCUCUAUCAGCAGGGAAGAAAGAAAUGACGGUACCUGACUAAGAAGCCCCGGCUAACUACGUGCCAGCAGCCGCGGUAAUACGUAGGGGGCAAGCGUUAUCCGGAUUUACUGGGUGUAAAGGGGGCGCAGACGGCGAUGCAAGCAAGGAGUGAAAGCCCGGGGCCCAACCCCGGGACUGCUCUUGGAACUGCGUGGCUGGAGUGCAGGAGGGGCAGGCGGAAUUCCUGGUGUAGCGGUGAAAUGCGUAGAUAUCAGGAGGAACACCGGUGGCGAAGGCGGCCUGCUGGACUGCAACUGACGUUGAGGCCCGAAAGCGUGGGGAGCAAACA
rnacentral:rRNA from 1 species